CUGGGCCGUCUGUUGACUCCACCGCUUGAUCUCCACCGUUGGAUUUGAGUUGUUUGGACUAUAAAUCCCGUGGAAGGGACCAGAUUGCAUCAGAAACAUCGAGAGAGAUUGAGAGAGGUCGACCCAUUCUUGAGACUCGGCGACCCGAUCACGUGACCCGACCGGAGUGACGCCGUCCGGCCACCGAUCGACGACGCACGACCACCGAUGUCUUCCUCUCGUCAUCGCCGUCACGUCUGCGGUCUCGGACCGCCCAUGCACUCGGCGAGGAGGGAGAAUCGACGGUGAGAAGACUUGACUGCUCCGGUGAAUUUCUGCUAUUUCCGGCCUCCGUCUGGACCGCAUUCGCAGGAACUCGGGCUUGGUCAAUCUAAAUUUCAUCUAUUGAGAAGUGAGAUGCAAACCCGAGCGUGAUCGAAGAGUAGCAAGACUAUUAACCUGGAAACUAGAAUGCUUCCUGCAUGGAGUUUGUGUUCGCAGCAACUCAGACUUAAUCACCAUGAUUCAUGCAAUUGAGGUAAAUCUCAGUUUUUCACCUCAACUCAAUGUGUAAUGCUGUUGCUUUUGGCAGUAAAGGUAUAGCCUCGAAUUGGUGAUUGAAAUUCAAGUCUUGAAGUUGGAAUGGAAUUGUUGGAUUUACAGAAAUGUUUCUAGUUGUGUGUGGUGUUGACUAGUCAAGUUAUUGAGCCGCAGUGCUACAGUGAAAAUUUUCAAAUCUGAAUUGUUGCUCAUGGUUCUUGACUUAGUACGACCACUGUAACUAUUAUAUUGAUUAGAAUGGGGUUAAGAAUGGAAGUAAAUAUGUGUGGUUGAAUUGGA